GAUGAACGCUGGCGGCGUGCUUAACACAUGCAAGUCGAACGGAAAGGCCAGUGCUUGCCCUGGUACUCGAGUGGCGAACGGGUGAGUAACACGUGGGUGAUCUGCCCUGUACUUCGGGAUAAGCUUGGGAAACUGGGUCUAAUACCGGAUAGGACAACUUUUUGGAUAUUGUUGUGGAAAGCUUUUGCGGUAUGGGAUGAGCUCGCGGCCUAUCAGCUUGUUGGUGGGGUAAUGGCCUACCAAGGCGUCGACGGGUAGCCGGCCUGAGAGGGUGUACGGCCACAUUGGGACUGAGAUACGGCCCAGACUCCUACGGGAGGCAGCAGUGGGGAAUAUUGCACAAUGGGCGCAAGCCUGAUGCAGCGACGCCGCGUGGGGGAUGAAGGCCUUGGGGUUGUAAACUCCUUUCGCUAGGGACGAAGCUUUUUUGUGACGGUACCUGGAGAAGAAGCACCGGCUAACUACGUG
rnacentral:rRNA from 1 species